GAUGAACGCUAGCGGCAGGCUUAACACAUGCAAGUCGUGGGGCAGCGCGGACUUCGGUCUGGCGGCGACCGGCAAACGGGUGCGGAACACGUACGCAACCUCCCUCAGAGCGGGGAAUAGCCUCUCGAAAGAGAGAUUAAUACCCCAUAGUAUCUUGAAGACACAUGUCUAUGAGACUAAAGCUUCGGCACUUUGAGAUGGGCGUGCGGCUGAUUAGGUAGUUGGUAGGUAACGGCCUACCAAGCCGACGAUCAGUAGCUGAUGUGAGAGCAUGAUCAGCCACACGGGCACUGAGACACGGGCCCGACUCCUACGGGAGGCAGCAGUGAGGAAUAUUGGUCAAUUGGAGGAAAACUACUGAACCAAGCCAUGCCGCGUGGAGGGAUGAAGGUCCUCUGGAUUGUAAACUA
rnacentral:rRNA from 1 species